UGCCCAGCAACUCCCAUCCCUACCUCCUCGAGGUACCGGCCGGAAACUAUGAGCAACCUUAGGGAAGAUCGGG
rfam:Aedes albopictus isolate Foshan contig77, whole genome shotgun sequence.